UUUCUUUUACUCUUCUAAUAUCUUACGACUCUGGCUGUCUGUCAGUCUGUUUCCCUAAGUGCGACUCUGUGUGUGUGAGUGUGAGUGUGCUUGGCAAAUCCUUUCAAUUCAACACGUUUUAUAUUUUGCUUUGGUUUUGCCUUUUACCAGUUCUGUUAUCUUUAACUCUAACCAAAUGACGCAUACGCCGCGUAAAAGGCACCCAGCAACAUAAACUAAGCAAGUCGAAAUGAAAUGUAAACAGAUUUUAAGUUGCACAACAGAUUUUAGUUAGGAGCGGCUUAAGCUUAAGCUCAGUUCAUGAACUUUCCGAAAGCUUUAAGCUGGCUUUAAGUUAUCGAUUUGUUGAACUGCAAAUUCCCAAGAGCAAGUGCAGAUUUAAAGUGGAUCGAAAUAAAACUCAUGAAUGAUUAAACAAGCUGGAAAAUGCACACACGCAUACACACACACACACACACACAUUGCAACACACGCACAGACAAAUGAAAAAUUUAUUUGCCUGCGCUUUUAUGGCGCAUAAAUUUACAAACAAAAAAUCUGAGGCAGGAAAAUAAAAAAUGAAAAUGCGAGCUAAACACAAAACGCAAAUAAAACGUAGCCAAACGUGAAUGUGGAAAAUGUUCGUAAGAACAACAAGCGUGAAAGAGAGA